AAUGGGAUCUAACUGCUCACCAUGUGGCCAUGAGGGACAGGGAUGCAGCCUCACUUCCUGCUCUAAAAUACAGGGGUGUGGCUAAAAUACAUACAAAAACUUUUGGUAGUGGCAUUAAAACAUAAGCUGAACUCAACUUUACUUCAAAAGAAAUGAAAAACAUAAAAAAAAAAAUGCAACAAAAAUCCAAGUAUUAUUUUCAUAAGUGUAAUUUAGGGGUUAGGGUUUGGGACAGACUGCUCCCAGUAGAGUAUAAGUACCCUUGUACUGACCAAAAUUUAAAACCAGUUUAGACGCUGUUUCAGUUGUUACAUGCUUUCUUGUUAUACACACUGUGUUUGGCUGUGAGUCAUACCUGUGUUCAAUAGUGGUGGGAGAGAGGUGAGCAGGCAGGCAAACAAAGGAGUAGGCAGGUAGGUAUGUGGACAGUGCAGGUAGGUAUGUAGACAGGCAGGAAAGUAGGCAAACAAAGGAGUAGGCAGGCAGGUAUGCAGUGAUUUUAUCAAAUUGCUUGAAAGUUCAAAAUAAC